rnacentral:antisense_RNA from 1 species
GGUAAAUUAAUCUCUCAACUGGUUGAACACAGCUUCAGAGAUGUCAACAGCCUCCUAUGAGUCUAGAGUCAAGUGGUACAGGCUCAACUGGUCUAACAGCUGCAAAUUUUGAGAGACUGCUGUGCUAAUGUUUGGGGCUCAGAUUUAAGGUAUAGGUAGGAUUUACAUACUUUGAGCAGCCAAGCCUUCUUCAGAAGAAACCUGAGCGGCAUGUGCUCCUCCCCACCUGCUUCCCCGCAACAGGAAGAACUCUCUGCAGAAGGUCUCCUCACCUUGUUGAGGCCUGGGAAUGUGCAGAUGUGCAGGAUUUUCCACACUAUUCGAGAGAGAGAAAGUAAAUAAACUUGUGUAAGUAAAUUGCAUCAACUACAAAUAAGACCUGUA